AGCAGGAACAGGGCUGAAGACUUCAUCCACCAGAGCCUGCCCUACCUGCAGGACCCUCAGGCCAACGUGCGCCUGGCGGCCGUCAGGUUCAUCGAACUCAUCACACGGCGCCUGAGGGAGCAGACCACGGAGAGUCAGGCUGACAUCCUGAGCGCGCUUCAGCCCUUGGAGAAUGACUGGGACAUCUCUGUCAGCUCCCUGGCAGUUCAGACAACCUCCAUUCUGAGGAGUCCUUGUGUGCAGCAAAGACCAAGAGGCCUCCUGCAAGCACUGCGCUGCUGCUGGCCGUGAGCCCGGUAGAGGUGCAGCUUGCCUUGGCUAAAGGACUGGGGCUCAAUAAA